AACCACUGGAAUGUUCUGGAGAUGAAAUCGAUAUUUGAAAGCAACUGGAGGGUAACUGACAGUCGGCCACUGCUCUACACAAAAUGA
rnacentral:lncRNA from 13 species